rnacentral:rRNA from 1 species
UACGGGGGGGGCAAGCGUUGUUCGGAAUUACUGGGCGUAAAGGGCUCGUAGGCGGCCAACUAAGUCAGACGUGAAAUCCCUCGGCUUAACCGGGGAACUGCAUCUGAUACUGGAUGGCUUGAGUUCGGGAGAGGGAUGCGGAAUUCCAGGUGUAGCGGUGAAAUGCGUAGAUAUCAGGAAGAACACCGGUGGCGAAAGCGACUACCUGGCCUGUUUCUUGACGCUGAGGCGCGAAAGCUAGGGGAGCAAACGGG